rnacentral:misc_RNA from 1 species
GAUGAAGAACGUAGCGAAAUGCGAUAAGUAGUGUGAAUUGCAGAAUUCAGUGAAUCAUCGAAUAUUUGAACGCACAUUGCGCCCCUUGGUAUUCCAUGGGGCAUGCCUGUUCGAGCGUCAUUUGUACCUUCAAGCACUGCUUGGUGUUGGGUGUUUGUCUCGCCUCUGCGUGUAGACUCGCCUUAAAACAAUUGGCAGCCGGCGUAUUGAUUUCGGAGCGCAGUACAUCUCGCGCUUUGCACUCAUAACGACGACGUCCAAAAGUACAUUUUUACACUCUUGACCUCGGAUCAGGUAGGGAUACCCGCUGAACUUAAGCAUAUCAAUAAGCGGGA